rnacentral:ncRNA from 1 species
AGAGAUAGAGGUUGAAAAGUAUCCGCCUCCAACGCGCCACCUUUAUAGGUGGGUCUAGAAAUGCGGGCGACCUUCGGCGGUCCCGCCUAUCUCA